rnacentral:rRNA from 1 species
UAAUACAGAGGUCUCAAGCGUUGUUCGGAUUCAUUGGGCGUAAAGGGCGCGUAGGCGGUGGGGUAAGUCUGGUGUGAAAUCUCGGAGCUCAACUCCGAAAUUGCACUGGAUACUGCUCUGCUAGAGGGCUGGAGAGGAGAUCGGAAUUCACGGUGUAGCAGUGAAAUGCGUAGAUAUCGUGAGGAAGACCAGUGGCGAAGGCGGAUCUCUGGACAGCUCCUGACGCUGAGGCGCGAAGGCUAGGGGAGCAAACGGGAUUAGAUACCCCGGUAGUCCUAGCAGUAAACGGUGCACGUUUGGUGUGCGCGGAUUCGACCCCGUGCGUGCCGGAGCUAACGCGUUAAACGUGCCGCCUGAGGAGUACGGUCGCAAGAUU